UCGGACACGUGAUGUAGUUUGCUUAACCUGCAUCUUCUCAAUUCAUUUUAGGGAAAAACAUAACUGCCGCUUCUGAACAAGUAGAAACCCUCGUUCUCAACAUUAAUUUCCAUUACUCAUCGUCAAUGUUAAUCAAAUACGUCCCUUUGUUCAGAUCGAUGAUUUGAGCAUGGAUGACUACAUCAAAGUAUGUAUAUAUAUUAAGUCUUAUCUGCAAUACUUAGAGUCAUUUCAUAAUGGCAGAAGCUUUAAAUUAUGUCACUAUUAUGGAGGUGGUACUGGUACACGUUCUGGUGUGGGAACUUUCUUCAUUUCCAAAGUGAAAGAAGAGUGCACAGGAAUUCAAAGAUCAACAAUCCAAGAUGUAAGCAUAUUUUCUUAAGGUUCAAUGCACUAGUCUAUAAUCUGAACUUUGUUUUACGCCCACCUACAAGCUUAUUAAGGAGCAGCUGGAUUAUUGGAGAUUGAUUGAAGAUUUUUUUUUUGUGAAGAAAUGAGCUUGGCUAGACAUGACGACAAAUUAACUCAUUGAUUAAGAAGAAAUCCUUCUAAAUGUGCUGUUAAAAUCCAUAACUAAUAGCUUAGAAACAUUUUUGUGCUAUUUUUGCUUGUAUGAAUAUUCGAGUGUAAAGGAAGAUAUUAAUAAAUUUAUAUAAUAAAAUGAGAUUUUUGUUUAUUAA